GACGAACGCUGGCGGCGUGCUUAACACAUGCAAGUCGAGCGGAAAGGCCACUUCGGUGGUACUCGAGCGGCGAACGGGUGAGUAACACGUGAGUAAUCUGCCCCUCACUUUGGGAUAGCCACCGGAAACGGUGAUUAAUACCGGAUAUGACCAUAUGUCGCAUGGCGUGUGGUGGAAAGUUUUUCGGUGAGGGAUGUGCUCGCGGCCUAUCAGCUUGAUGGUGAGGUAAUGGCUCACCAUGGCUUCGACGGGUAGCCGGCCUGAGAGGGUGACCGGUCACACUGGGACUGAGAGACGGCGCAGACUCCUACGGGAGGCAGCAGUGGGGAAUAUUAGGCAGUGGGCGGGAGCCUGAUCCAGCAACGCCGCGUGAGGGAUGACGGCCUUCGGGUUGUAAACCUCUUUCAGUACCGACGAAGCGCAAGUGACGGUAGGUACAGAAGAAGCACCGGCCAACUACGUG
rnacentral:rRNA from 1 species